GCGCACCAGGCGAGAAACCUCCGCAAUGCGCGAAAGCGCGACGGGGCCACCCGAGUGCCGCCCGCUGGAGGGCGGCUUUUCCCCGGUGUAGACAGCCGGGGGAAUAAGGGGAGGGCAAGUCUGGUGUCAGCCGCCGCGGUAAUACCAGCUCCCCGAGUGGUGGGGACGAUUAUUGGGCCUAAAGCGUCCGUAGCCGGCCCGGCAAGUCUCCCGUUAAGUCCAACGAUCUAAUCGCUGGACUGCGGGAGGUACUGUCGGGCUAGGGGGCGGGAGAGGCCGGCGGUAUUCCCGGGGGUAGGGGUGAAAUCCUAUAAUCCCGGGAGGACCACCAGUGGCGAAGGCUGCCGGCUGGAACGCGCCCGACGGUGAGGGACGAAAGCCGGGGGAGCGAACCGGAUUAGAUACCCGCGUAGU
rnacentral:rRNA from 1 species